UACGUAGGGGGCUAGCGUUGUCCGGAUUUAUUGGGCGUAAAGAGCGUGUAGGCGGCCAAGUAGGUCCGUUGUGAAAACUGGAGGCUUAACCUCCAGCUGUCGAUGGAAACCAUUUGGCUAGAGUCCGGAAGAGGAGAGUGGAAUUCCUGGUGUAGCGGUGAAAUGCGCAGAUAUCAGGAAGAACACCCGUGGCGAAGGCAGCUCUCUGGGUCCCUACCGACGCUGGGGUGCGAAAGCAUGGGGAGCGAACAGG
rnacentral:rRNA from 1 species